rnacentral:rRNA from 1 species
UACGUAGGGUGCGAGCGUUAAUCGGAAUUACUGGGCGUAAAGCGUGCGCAGGCGGUUCGUUGUGUCGGCGGUGAAAGCCCCGGGCUCAACCUGGGAAUGGCCGUUGAAACUGGCGAACUGGAGUGUGGCAGAGGGGGGUGGAAUUCCGCGUGUAGCAGUGAAAUGCGUAGAUAUUGGGAGGAACACCAGUGGCGAAGGCGGCUCACUGGACCGGUACUGACGCUGAGGCGCGAAAGCGUGGGAGCAAACGGG